ACGAAAUUCGAAGAGCAGAUCCU
rnacentral:siRNA from 1 species